rnacentral:rRNA from 1 species
AGUGAACGCUGGCGGUAGGCCUAACACAUGCAAGUCGAACGGCAGCACAGUAAGAGCUUGCUCUUACGGGAGGCGAGUGGCGGACGGGUGAGGAAUACAUCGGAAUCUACUUUUUCGUGGGGGAUAACGUAGGGAAACUUACGCUAAUACCGCAUACGACCUACGGGUGAAAGCAGGGGAUCUUCGGACCUUGCGCGAUUGAAUGAUCCGAUGUCGGAUUAGCUAGUUGGCGGGGUAAAGGCCCACCAAGGCGACGAUCCGUAGCUGGUCUGAGACGAUGAUCCGCCCAACUGGAACUGAGACACGGUCCAGACUCCUACGGUGAGCAGCAGUGGGGAAUAUUUGACAAUGGGCGCAAUCCUGAUCCAGCCAUACCGCGUGGGUGAAGAAGUCCUUCGGGUUGUAAAGCCCUUUUGUUGGGAAAGAAAAGCCGCAGUUUAAUACCCCGCUGUUCUGACGGUACCCAAAGAAUAAGCACCGGCUAACUUCGUG